rnacentral:misc_RNA from 1 species
CUCCUACUCCAAUGUGGCCAGAUGACCUGCAAAACCACACAUUCCUGCACACAGUGUACUGCCAGGAUGGGAGUCCCAGUGUGGGACUCUCUGAGGCCUACGACGAGGACCAGCUUUUCUUCUUCGACUUUUCCCAGAACACUCGGGUGCCUCGCCUGCCCGAAUUUGCUGACUGGGCUCAGGAACAGGGAGAUGCUCCUGCCAUUUUAUUUGACAAAGAGUUCUGCGAGUGGAUGAUCCAGCAAAUAGGGCCAAAACUUGAUGGGAAAAUCCCGGUGUCCAGAGCAAUUGCCUAUUGGGUACCCCGGAACGCACUGCCCUCAGAUCUGCUGGAGAAUGUGCUGUGUGGCGUGGCCUUUGGCCUGGGUGUGCUGGGCAUCAUCGUGGGCAUUGUUCUCAUCAUCUACUUCCGGAAGCCUUGCUCAGGUGACUGAUUCUUCCAGACCAGAGUUUGAUGCCAGCAGCUUCGGCCAUCCAAACAGAGGAUGCUCAGAUUUCUCACAUCCUGCCCAGGAUCUCCUCUUAGGGUAGAAGAAGUCUCUGGGACAUCCCUGGGGUGU